rnacentral:rRNA from 1 species
UAGGGAAUAUUGCAAAAUGGGCGAAAGCCCGAUGCAGCAACGCCGCGUGGGCGAUGAAGGCCUUCGGGUCGUAAAGCCCUUUUUGAGGGGAUGAGGAAGGACAGUACCCUCAGAAUAAGCCUCGGCUAACUACGUGCCAGCAGCCGCGGUAAAACGUAGGAGGCGAGCGUUAUCCGGAUUUACUGGGCGUAAAGCGCGUGCAGGCGGAUUGGAGAGUUGGAUGUGAAAGCUCCCGGCUUAACUGGGAGAGGUCGUUCAAUACUUCCAGUCUUGAGUGCAGUAGAGGGAAGUGGAAGUCCGGGUGUAGUGGUGAAAUGCGUAGAUAUCCGGAGGAACACCAGUGGCGAAAGCGGCUUCCUGGACUGUAACUGACGCUCAGACGCGAAAGCUAGGGUAGCAAACG